ACCUUUGCCUCUUCCAAGCCCUCUGUUGAGGGUCGGGCCUGGUUAGUACUGGGACGGGAGACCACCUGGGAAUACCAGGUGGCGUAAGCU
rnacentral:rRNA from 1 species